rnacentral:rRNA from 1 species
GACGAACCGUGCGACCGUUAUUCGGAAUCACUGGGCUUAAAGGGCGCGUAGGCGGGCCGAAAAGUCAGGGGUGAAAUCCUCCAGCCCAACUGGAGAAGCGCCUUUGGUACUGUCGGCCUCGAGGGGUGCAGGGGCAUGCGGAACUCAGGGUGGAGCGGUGAAAUGCGUAGAUAUCCUGAGGAACACCGGUGGCGAAAGCGGCGUGCUGGACACCUUCUGACGCUGAGGCGCGAAAGCCAGGGGAGCGAAAGGG